UGUGGCAGUCAAUGGCGCGCUGGACUUCGAGAUGUGUUCCCUGCCUGUUUCAUUUCAUUGGUGUUGGAAGGGAUCAGACCUGGCAUCCUUGGCCAAUGACCGCGUUCUUGUAAGACUGGGUCCUCUGGUCUAGUGUGAGGACGCGCUUUGAAAAGAGGGAGUUGUGGAGCGACCCUGGUUUAUCAACGAAGAUAUCAACUUCGACUUUGUCACUUGAGCAUGCUUUGGUGGCACAGUCGAUGACGCGCUGGACAAGGCAGCCCGGGAUGGCCCUAAACAGUUUCUCAUGCAUUGUUAACCAACCCGGAUGUGAUAUAAUUCUGGCCACAUGUUGAUUCAGUGGGGCUUCUCCGUGCAGGACGUGGGAAGGGGGUGGGACGCACACACUGUAAACAGGAAUAGGUUCAUCACCGGUCACUGAGUUAGCAAGCUAAAGUUAGCUAGUUAGUCACAUAAAUGUACGUUCAGCCUGUUAAUUAUUUCAGUUUGAUUUGACUUAUCUUACGAAGGCAGCAUGGCUUAACAUAGUUUCUUUCGUUUUUGACCUCGACAUUGUUGCUCGAUAGGUAUUUUCAUAGCUACCAUGCUGUCGCUGUUAGCUAGCUAAUGCUAGCAUCGCUAGCUAACCUCAUAUCUGGAUGCCUGGAAGGUUCCCGAAAGUGAGCAGCAUACUGGCCCUCCAUUCCCAAACCUGAAGCCAACUGUUCCCAGCAGGAAAAACCAGGAAAAGGUGUUGGCUUAAGGUACAACUUCCUAUUGAAGAAAUGUAAGACAACUCAAUGUCAUAUUUACUGAUAUGAAAAGAAGCAUAUACACGCAAUCUAUCAAAUGUAUUUUAUAAAGCCCCGUUUACAUCAGCAGUUGUCACAAAGUGCUUAAGCAGAUACCCAGGUUAAAACCCCAAAGAGCAAGCAAGCAGACGUAGAAGCACAGUGGCUAUGAAAAACUCCCUAGAAAGGCAGGAACCUAGGAAGAAACCUAGAGAGGAACCAGGCUCUGAGGGGUGGCCAGUCCUCUUCUGUCUGUGCUUGUGGAGAUUAUAAAAGAGUAACAUUUUUGGAGAUUAUAAAAGAGUACAGCCAUUUAGGCCAGAUUACUCAAAGCUGUUUCAGCGUUCACAGAUGAUCAGCAGUGUUAAAUAAUAGAGAGUGCAAUAGUUCAGCACCUCAGGUGUAAAUGCCAGUUGGCUCUUCAUAGCUGAGCAUUUAGAGGUUGAGGCAGUAGGUCCGGUAGAGAGAGGCAGGAUCAAACAGCGGGUCUAGGACAAGGUAGUACCUCCGGUGAGCCUUGAGCAGGUCAGGGUUCCAUAGCUGCAGACAUAAACAGCAGAGACUGGAUCAGCAGCACGACCAGGUGGACUGGAGACAGGGAAAGCCAGGAGUCGUCAGGCCAGGUUGUCCCGAUGCAUGGUCCUAGAGCUCAUGUCCUGCAUUUACCGUACUUGUCAAUCCAGAUCUGAAUAUUUGAUAUCCUUUAAAUUGUACGCUGUUGAGAGUAGUUUUGUUCCAAAGCUAAUCACUGAGUGUCCUACUACAAGGAUGUGGUCAGGUUGACACAUCCUUGUCAACCUGACCAAAACAGAACACACACGCAUAUCACAUUGCAAGGGUAAGUACGAUGAGCAGUUGCAAAAAAGAAGUCUGCUGCGUGGGUUGCUAGACACACACACACACGAACAUAAUUCAUUUGUUGUAUUGUAUUUAUUGUGGAUCCCCAUUAGCUGCUGCCAAGACAGCAGUUACUCUUCUUCGGGUCCAGCGAAAUUAAGGCAGUUAUACAAUUUUAAAAACAUUACAAUAUGUUCACAACACAUUAAGUGUGUGCCCUCAGGCCACUACUCUACUACCAUAUAUAUAUAUAUAUAUACACACAACACAAACUCCUUGUGUACGUGUGUGUACAGUGCAUAUGUUAUCGCGUGUAUGCAUGUCUCUUCACAGUCCCCGCUGUUCCAUAAAGGUGUAUUUUUAUCAGUUUUUUUAAGUCUAAUUUUACUGCUUGCAUGAGUUACUUGAUGUGGAAUAGAGUUCCAUGUAGUCAUGGCUCUAUGUACUACUGUGCGCCUCCCAUAGUCUGUUCUGUUUAGGUUAGUGUGUAGUCAAGGCUUUGCCAACCUGCUCGGUGGGUGACAGGUAACCGUCUUUCCACCAAGCUGUUCCAGGCCUGGAGUGGCACGCUGGAACUUCCAAAGGCUUGUAGACCUGAAUGUGUGAUGUGGUCCAGGUACUUAUCAAACACACGUAUACACACUCACUCACUCUGUUUUGUUGUAUAAUUAUUUUAACUUAAGAAAAUUGUUCCUCUCUGUCGUCUGCUCCUGCAUCUGCUACACUGGCCACAACAUGUGAUACAGAUCUGCCACGCCCAGCAGUUCAGCUGCAGUCACAGCAGUCUUCUGCUGUGGUAGUUAAUUUACCAGCUGCACCAAUGCCUUCUACACUGGCCGUGAAAGGAGAAACUUAUGGGUAUUCCCAGAUGGAUACAGAUCUGCCAUGCACUCCACCACUGCCUGACAGCCUCACCCAGAAGUGCAUACACUGGGCCUAUCAGAGAUGGGUGUCUGACAAGGAAAAAUAAAACAUGCACACACAUACACACAUCCACAAUGUAAAUAAGUUGUAAUUACUUGUUUAAUGUUUGCUCCAUUUUAUUGUAGGAUUGGAGAUAUCUACUCCCUCAUAGCCAUGCUCAAUAUCUACAUAAUUACUCAAACUAUCUAUCAAAUCAAAGUGUGAUUGAUAAUAUUGUAAAAGACUUGCUUAAUGUGUAGUUUUAGGACAUUUUGUGUGCUUUUUUUCUGAGUUGAAAAACAUGCCUCAUACACACAUUAGACCCAAUGUAAAUCGGUUGUAAUAACUUGUUUAUUUUAAUGUAUGGUGAAUUUUAUUUGAGGAAAAUAUCUGCAAUAAAGUGCAUUCACAGUUAAAGCAA